AUCAUCGAAUCUUUGAACGCAUCUUGCGCCUUUUGGAAUUCCAGAAGGCACACCUGUUUGAGUGUCAUGA
rnacentral:rRNA from 3 species